AAGCUAAGCACUGUCCCCAACUGCUGUACAAUACUGAUAAUGCUCUUACAGUUAAGAGGGCUGAAUGGCAGACCUUGUUAAAUAAUAUUUUAUGUUUCUUCCUCAUAAUGUGUUAUAUUUUAUAAAUAUAUUCUUAUAUAUCUUAUAUUACUUUUUGCCUUUUCUUAUACGUUGAAAUGGGAGAAGAGGGGAUCAAUGCUGCUGUGAAGGUGAUCCUGCACAAGGACAUGUCUUUGUAACUGUGCCGGUGCCCAUCGUCAGUCCCUUCUCUAUCCGUUACUGGACCUGGAUCUGGAUCUCGAUCUGGACACUCAUUACCAGCUUGUGCAUCUCACUGCUGAUAUCAUGAUGCUACUUAACUAUCUUCGCAGCACCCCCUCUAGGAAUGGAGAUCCGGGGUUCCCCCCUCUUCUUCGAUACAGAAUCUGCCCCGUGAACGUGCGUGUUGACGCCUCUACACAGUCAGAACCCCCCUCCAGCUUCCAGUCCGAGGAUGAUGUCGUCUUCUCUGAUCCGGGCCCCGACCAUUCGUCCCUCUUCUCACCUACCAGUCCGCACGACUCUCAGUGGUGGGGGCAGGGGCCUAUGCCUAGAAAUGGCCCUGGCUGACAGUGCGGAAUCCACAGCAAAGC
ensembl:lncRNA